rnacentral:rRNA from 1 species
AGAUUGAACGCUAGCGGGAUGCUUUACACAUGCAAGUCGAACGGCAGCGCGGACUUCGGUCUGGCGGCGAGUGGCGAACGGGUGAGUAAUAUAUCGGAACGUGCCCAGUAGCGGGGGAUAACUACGCGAAAGCGUGGCUAAUACCGCAUACGCCCUACGGGGGAAAGGGGGGGAUCGCAAGACCUCUCACUAUUGGAGCGGCCGAUAUCAGAUUAGCUAGUUGGUGAGGUAAAGGCUCACCAAGGCGACGAUCUGUAGCUGGUUUGAGAGGACGACCAGCCACACUGGGACUGAGACACGGCCCAGACUCCUACGGGAGCAGCAGUGGGGAAUUUGGACAAUGGGGGAAACCCUGAUCCAGCCAUCCCGCGUGUGCGA